CCGAGUGUAGCUCAGUUGGUAGAGCGAUUGACUGUAGUGUUCUAUACUGUGUUUCAGUCUUCUCGGAAAUCAAUUGGUCGCUGGUUCGAUUCCGGCCACUCGGA
rnacentral:tRNA from 1 species